GAUGAAGAACGCAGCGAAAUGCGAUAAGUAAUGCGAAUUGCAGAAUCCGUGAGUCAUCGAAUCUUUGAACGCACAUUGCGCCCUCUGGUAUUCCGGAGGGCAUGCCUGUUCGAGCGUCAUUUCACCACUCAAGCCUCGCUUGGUAUUGGGCAACGCGGUCCGCCGCGUGCCUCAAAUCGACCGGCUGGGUCUUCUGUCCCCUAAGCGUUGUGGAAACUAUUCGCUAAAGGGUGUUCGGGAGGCUACGCCGUAAAACAACCCCAUUUCUAAGGUUGACCUCGGAUCAGGUAGGGAUACCCGCUGAACUUAAGCAUAUCAAUAAGCGGAGGA
rnacentral:misc_RNA from 1 species